rnacentral:miRNA from 1 species
AUGGAGAAGGCAUUUGA